AUUGAACGCUGGCGGCAUGCCUUACACAUGCAAGUCGAACGGCAGCGCGGACUUCGGUCUGGCGGCGAGUGGCGAACGGGUGAGUAAUACAUCGGAACGUACCCUGUUGUGGGGGAUAACUAGUCGAAAGAUUAGCUAAUACCGCAUACGACCUGAGGGUGAAAGUGGGGGACCGGAAACGGCCUCAUGCAGCAGGAGCGGCCGAUGUCUGAUUAGCUAGUUGGUGGGGUAAAGGCCCACCAAGGCGACGAUCAGUAGCUGGUCUGAGAGGACGAUCAGCCACACUGGGACUGAGACACGGCCCAGACUCCUACGGGAGGCAGCAGUGGGGAAUUUUGGACAAUGGGGGCAACCCUGAUCCAGCAAUGCCGCGUGUGUGAAGAAGGCCUUCGGGUUGUAAAGCACUUUUGUCCGGAAAGAAAUCGCGCUGGUUAAUACCUGGCGUGGAUGACGGUACCGGAAGAAUAAGCACCAGCUAACUACGUG
rnacentral:rRNA from 1 species